rnacentral:sRNA from 2 species
GAUUCCCGGGCGCUGGCGAACACGGGGCACCCAUCUCCGUCGGCCACCGCACCGGGUGGCCGACUCGGAGUGAAGCCUCCCGAGCGAGGCCGGGCUCCUGACGCCCGAACCCGACAGCUCACCCCGGCGGCGGACCGGUCAGGAAAG